rnacentral:rRNA from 1 species
AGCUCCAGUAGCGUAUAUUAAAGUUGUUGCAGUUAAAAAGCUCGUAGUUGGAUUUCUGGCUCGACGGAGCUGACCCGCGGUGCAAACCGUGAGUGUCGGCCUUCUGUCUGCCAUCCUUCCAGAGAACGUUCCUACCCUUCACUGGGCCGGGUUCGCAAUCUGGGACUUUUACUUUGAGGAAAUUAGAGUGUUCAAAGCAGGCUUGCGCUGUGAAUACAUUAGCAUGGAAUAUCAACUUAGGACUUUGGUUCUAUUUUGUUGGUUUCUAGGACUGAAGUAAUGAUUGAUAGGGAUAGUUGGGGGUGCUAGUAUUUCGUGGCCAGAGGUGAAAUUCUUGGAUUCACGAAAGACUAACUUAUGCGAAAGCAUUCACCAAGGAUGUCUUCU